rnacentral:rRNA from 1 species
CCCUACGGGGCGCAGCAGGACCUUACGACCAGUGGCCAAUGAGCAGGGGAUUUGAGAGGUUCUACGGAUUCCUUGAGUCCCACACAAGCCAGUGGUAUCCUGACUUGGUUUCCGGCAGUACCCGCAUAAAGCCGCCCGCCACCCCAGAGGAGGGUUACCAUCUCUCCAAGGACCUGGUGAACCAGUCCAUACAGUACAUAAGCGACGGAAAAUCCCUCCAGCCGGACAAGCCUUUCUUCCUUUACCUGGCCUUCGGUGCUGGCCAUUGGCCGCAUCACGUUCCCAAGGCCUACAUCGAUAAGUAUAAGGGCAGAUUCGUUAUUGGCUGGGAUGCCAUGAGAAACCAGACUCUGGCUAAAGAGAAGGAAUUGGCGGGAGAGC